UACGGAGGGAGCUAGCGUUAUUCGGAAUUACUGGGCGUAAAGCGCACGUAGGCGGUUACUCAAGUCAGAGGUGAAAGCCUGGAGCUCAACUCCAGAACUGCCUUUGAAACUAGGUGACUUGAAUCCAGGAGAGGUGAGUGGAAUUCCGAGUGUAGAGGUGAAAUUCGUAGAUAUUCGGAAGAACACCAGUGGCGAAGGCGGCUCACUGGACUGGUAUUGACGCUGAGGUGCGAAAGCGUGGGGAGCAAACAGG
rnacentral:rRNA from 1 species